rnacentral:rRNA from 1 species
GAUGAACGCUGGCGGCGUGCCUAAUACAUGCAAGUCGAGCGAACGGACGAGAAGCUUGCUUCUCUGAUGUUAGCGGCGGACGGGUGAGUAACACGUGGAUAACCUACCUAUAAGACUGGGAUAACUUCGGGAAACCGGAGCUAAUACCGGAUGAUAUUUUGAACCGCAUGGUUCAAAAGUGAAAGACGGUCUUGCUGUCACUUAUAGAUGGAUCCGCGCUGCAUUAGCUAGUUGGUAAGGUAACGGCUUACCAAGGCAACGAUGCAUAGCCGACCUGAGAGGGUGAUCGGCCACACUGGAACUGAGACACGGUCCAGACUCCUACGGGAGGCAGCAGUAGGGAAUCUUCCGCAAUGGGCGAAAGCCUGACGGAGCAACGCCGCGUGAGUGAUGAAGGUCUUCGGAUCGUAAAACUCUGUUAUUAGGGAAGAACAUAUGUGUAAGUAACUGUGCACAUCUUGACGGUACCUAAUCAGAAAGCCACGGCUAACUACGUGCCAGCAGCCGCGGUAAUACGUAGGUGGCAAGCGUUAUCCGGAAUUAUUGGGCGUAAAGCGCGCGUAGGCGGUUUUUUAAGUCUGAUGUGAAAGCCCACGGCUCAACCGUGGAGGGUCAUUGGAAACUGGAAAACUUGAGUGCAGAAGAGGAAAGUGGAAUUCCAUGUGUAGCGGUGAAAUGCGCAGAGAUAUGGAGGAACACCAGUGGCGAAGGCGACUUUCUGGUCUGUAACUGACGCUGAUGUGCGAACGCGUGGGGAUCAAACAGGAUUAGAUACCCUGGUAGUCCACGCCGUAAACGAUGAGUGCUAAGUGUUAGGGGGUUUCCGCCCCUUAGUGCUGCAGCUAACGCAUUAAGCACUCCGCCUGGGGAGUACGACCGCAAGGUUGAAACUCAAAGGAAUUGACGGGGACCCGCACAAGCGGUGGAGCAUGUGGUUUAAUUCGAAGCAACGCGAAGAACCUUACCAAAUCUUGACAUCCUUUGACAACUCUAGAGAUAGAGCCUUCCCCUUCGGGGGACAAAGUGACAGGUGGUGCAUGGUUGUCGUCAGCUCGUGUCGUGAGAUGUUGGGUUAAGUCCCGCAACGAGCGCAACCCUUAAGCUUAGUUGCCAUCAUUAAGUUGGGCACUCUAAGUUGACUGCCGGUGACAAACCGGAGGAAGGUGGGGAUGACGUCAAAUCAUCAUGCCCCUUAUGAUUUGGGCUACACACGUGCUACAAUGGACAAUACAAAGGGCAGCGAAACCGCGAGGUCAAGCAAAUCCCAUAAAGUUGUUCUCAGUUCGGAUUGUAGUCUGCAACUCGACUACAUGAAGCUGGAAUCGCUAGUAAUCGUAGAUCAGCAUGCUACGGUGAAUACGUUCCCGGGUCU